rnacentral:rRNA from 1 species
UACGUAGGGCGCAAGCGUUGUCCGGAAUUAUUGGGCGUAAAGAGCUCGUAGGCGGUCUGUCGCGUCGGAUGUGAAAGCCCGGGGCUUAACCCCGGGUCUGCAUUCGAUACGGGCAGACUAGAGUGUGGUAGGGGAGAUCGGAAUUCCUGGUGUAGCGGUGAAAUGCGCAGAUAUCAGGAGGAACACCGGUGGCGAAGGCGGGUCUCUGGGCAGUAACUGACGCUGAGGAGCGAAAGCGUGGGGAGCAAACAGG